rnacentral:misc_RNA from 1 species
AACUUUUGGCAACGGAUCUCUUGGCUCUCGCAUCGAUGAAGAACGCAGCGAAACGCGAUAUGUAAUGUGAAUUGCAGAAUUCAGUGAAUCAUCGAAUCUUUGAACGCACCUUGCGCCCUUUGGUAUUCCAAAGGGCAUGCCUGUUUGAGUGUCAUUAAAUUUAUCAACCUUGUCAGUUGCAAUGAUUGACUUGGCUUGGAUGUGGGGGCUGCGGGUCUCUAAGGAGAUCGGCUCCCCUUAAAUGCAUUGGUGGAACCCUUUGUGGAUCAUCAUUGGCGUGAUAAUUAUCCAUCCCAAUGCUUGUGAAGCAAGCCUAAACAGCAUAGGGCUUUUGCUUAUAACCGUCCUUUUGGACAACAGCCCCUUGAAAAGGGCAAUUUGACAAAUGUGACCUCAAAUCAGGUAGGACUACCCGCUGAACUUAAGCAUAUCAAUAAGCGGAGGCU